GCCCAUGUGGCUCAGUGGUAGAGCACUCCCUUGGUAAGGGAGAGGUCGACAGUUCAAUCCUGUCCAUGGGCACCA
rnacentral:tRNA from 1 species